CAGGAUCUUACCGAGAGGAAGCUCUUCAGUGGAUGAGGGUCUUCCUUUGUUGCUGUUGACUGGACAGUGAAUUUCCCCAAAGGAGAAGGAACAGAAUUUGGUGGCAUCCAGAGAAAGCCACACAACCUCAUUGCAAUGCUCACCUGUGAACAGACUCACCUAAGAGGAGAAGAGAAUCAAAUCAUGCAAUCUCUGACCAUCUGUCCAUUAUCUGCAGCUGGAACUAGAUAUUGUCCAGAGGAGAAAUGAUGGCUCCCAAAUGUAAAUGAUAGCACAGAGGUGCCCUGAGGAUUGGAAGAGGAGCUUGGCUUGGAUUCAAGGACAGUCAAAACAACAGAAGAGGUAGUACAUAAUCAGUGACCUCUCUGAUAAAGGUCGAAAAGCAUCUAUGGCAAAGGUAAAAGGAAGGACCCUCAGAGCCCCUACAGUUGUGUUCUAUCUUUGGACUGAAGGGGAAAACUGCAAGCACUGAGCAGCAUCCUUGUGGUACUGCACUCGAAUUUAAGGACUUUUCCUGGAAACAGCCUAAGUGCAACUCCAGCCAGACCUACUGGAAAUAGUGGAAAACUGAGAAAAAGUUGUCAUGGAAACCACUAACACCGAGAUAUGGGUGAAAAAACAAGCUUUCAUUCAGAGACCACAAUUAUUUGCAAAAGAAUCUGUGAGCUUCUGAAACGCUUUUUCCCUACUCAGUUCUGCUGAGAUCUCGACUCAAAGACCAGCUGGAGGGUGGAAGUGCCAUUGGAACACUAAAUCUGGUAAUGCAGCAUUUGAAGGAAGGUUGUUUCUCCAUGU